UGCUCUUCAUCUGCUCUCUUCAGUCCCAACCUGGAAUCGAAUCGCCUCUUCCCUCCGCUCCAGGAUGGUGAAUCAGGGCGAGUCCAAUAAGCGCAUUGGCCAAGCGGGGGACACCGAGAGAGACCAGAGAUGCUACAACGUCUUCCUCUGCCCCACGAAUUUCCUCGCGACGCCAAAGAUGAGAGCCUUCGUCAGGAGCCCUUGAUCAAGGGUACAAGCCAGAGCCACCGCGCCACCAAGUACAAGGAACCUCGCCACAUUGUUUCUUGCCGGUUUCUCUUCUGCUUCCACGAUUUCUGAUUCCUCGCUGUUGGACUCCAGGGACCGAACAAAGUUGUCACCAACCUUAGUGUUGAUCCGGGCCAUCAAGGCACUCUUUGACGCUGGCUCCCCAGCAGCCCUGGCCUCCUGAUAGGCCCGGAGUCCAGGCUCAAUUUUCUUUACACAUCCCCACAUUCCUUGCCGAAUCCCAAGCUUUGCAAUCUCAUACGGGAUACCCAUGUCCUCAUGGUGGAACAGGAGAAUCUCACAGGCUGUCAACCCUCCAUUCCCUCUCUUUGAUUCCACUGUUCCAAUAUCAGUCAAGAAAAAAUUCUGAAUUAGAAAAGUGCCCACAGAAACAGGAAAAAAAAGGAUCACCUUGCAUUCAGUUCUAAUUUUCUGUUAUGCAACUUCUAUUGUUUCCCAGUUUCAAGCAUAAGCAAGGAAAAUGAUUACCUGCACGGAUGCACCAGCUUGAGUAAUACAAGUCAACUCUUCGAGGUUUGUUACGCCGUGGGAUGGAUGAGCAUGGUAUACCCUGCAUCACGUUACCAAUACAUCAAUAGCUGGGGACGAGCACAGAAUGUGAGUAAAUCUACAAAUCUCCAUGGCCACACACACAUUUUAGUGACCCACUCAAUGCAAGUGGAACUAGCCUCAAGACUACUAAUCACUAACAAGAUCAUAAACAAGUUCUUUUACCUAGAAUCGAUAUAAAAAACAUCUUUGUUUAGAGAAACAUCGUAUUAACCACUGUGUACAGUGUAACUGCUCAAAACAAUGUUGAUACAUACUAACUAACUAAACUUUCACUACAAUGUAAACCUAAACGAUUUUCUCUCUUGGGCAUACACCCAUAGAUAGGCUCAAACAAGGACCCUGAGGGGCAACCAUCACCCAUAUUGACUGAUAGAAGAAAAUAAUAGUGACUAGUUCAUAUCAACUAACUGAAAUUUGAUGAAGAAAAAUAGUGAAAACAUUUAUAUAACUGUGUGAAGAAUUAUAGGUAAGCAAGGAGUAAAAUAAGGCACCAGAGAAGAAUACAGGCAGUCAAGAAAAACAGUAGUGGGAUAACAUUUAUUAAGUGAAGACAUAAGAAUGGAGAUUCUAGAAUGCAACAUAAAGAGGACCUAGUUGUAGAGAAAAAAAUUGGGCGAAAAAGGAAGAUUAAAUAGAGAUAUAAUAAUAGAAAUGAAAAUAAAGUUAUCAUGAACAUAGAAGCAGAGGAAAAGGAGCGAUGCAAUUUAACAGUGUACACGAUUCUCUAGAAGUGCAAAAAAAUAAGUAAACUAAAAAAGAAAGAGAAACCUUUAAAAAGCUCCGGCCGUUUCAGGAAUGGAAUUAGACCAAACUAAAAACAUGGGUGGAAAUAUGAAAUACAAUCAAGGCAUUGAUUUAAAGACACGUUAUUGUGGCUUUAUGAUAUGCUUGUGGCUUCUUUAUUGAGAUUACAAAGAAUGGGAGAACACACCAUGUAAGGAACUAUAGCCAGAAUUGACAUAUUUCUAAGUUUGACAUUGACAUAUCUGUUACUUCCUAACCUCCCCUUGCUGUAAAAGGCAGUUACUAUUAAAUGGGGGUUCUUUCCAUAGUUUGCUUUCAAAGGAAUAAUGAUGAAAGGGAAGAAUUGGAGACUUCCCUGUCAACAACUCAACCUUAACAUCAAAACUUCAAUGAUGUUAAAAGCCUGUCUAAGUAAGCGUACUCCAAUGGCGGACAAGUGGCCUCAGGUCAGUAUCAUUAGAUAAAUGUAGCCAUCAAGAAAUAUCAGGGCUAAGAAAUAACCGCUGAACUUCCUACAAGUGACCACCAGCUAGAACGCAAAAGUGUGAUUGCCUAGCCAACCAAUAAACCCAUAUCUGUGCCUAUUCCUAACUGAGUUGAAGGGCAACAACAUAAAUUCUGUCAACAUUACAGUCUGUAUGUAGCGAAAGCUAUAUGGACCAAAUUCAUCCAAGUUAAUAUUUUUGGAUUAGGGAUCAAGCACAAGUCCCCAUUCCUCCUGGAAUCAACCCAAAACAAGGAAGUAUUAACAAAGAACAAGUAAUAGUUUUUCAAGUAUUUUUACCUUUGUGACACAAUAGUAGGCGCCACCCAAUUUCCAUAUCCGACGACCAAUUAUGUACUCUCUGUCACUGCAAAAGAAGGGGAACUGCAACAACACAAGUUCAAAGUAUUAGCUGAUGAUCAUAAAACCAGGAAAACUUAUAGCAAAUAUACCAUCUCAAGACCAGCAUACCUUUCGGACCCAAUGCACUUUCAUCGUUCCGGUUGUCUGGCACUCCUCCAGCGUCUUAUGAUAGAUAAGCAUAUCAUCCCACUUGUUGGACAUCCGGAACUCAUCAUCUCCAAAGAAGUCCCUCACUUCCUCUGGAGUUGCAUUCUCAAAGAUAGUACUACUCUGAUAUUGGGGAGGUCCGGUCUAAUUUCAUCCAAACAAAACUCAAUCAUUAUCGGAACACGAAAUUAAGUAAACAAAGAAGCACACUACAUUUCAAUUUUGCAAAAGAACAGCUCAUGAAGAAUUGUUCACCUGGGCAUCCCUCCUCCACGCCUGGUAGGUCAUGGUGGGCAGCGACUUCUCCAUCAUCUUGAUCCAGGCCGGGCCGCCGUCCCUGCCUUCCACCAGCCUCCAAAGGUUCACCAGGUCUUCCUUCCCCACAGCUAGCUCCUCGUUCGCCAUCUCCGACGACCUGCCAAGCACCACCACCAUUCCGUCAAAGGCGGGCUCCCUUUCACACGCCAAAAUCCACCAAAAACACGGCUUUGACCACAACCCAGACCAAGAACCAUAGCGCAUUUCUCCAAAGUUGGCGAGCCUACAUACCCUUGCGCGGCGGCCUUGUCCUCCUCCCGCUGCUGCACGGCGGUCCCAGCGUAGCCGAGCGGCGCCCGGAGACGGGCGGGGAGCUGGGCCUUCCAGAAGUCGAGCGUGGCGAAGGGCGCUUGCGCCGGCGCCGGUGCAGCGGCGCUGCCGUCGGCGGUGGCGACGAGACCGGCGGCCCAGCGCGGGCGCCAGGCCCAGCCGAGCAGAAGGCCGAUGAGGGCCGCCGCCCAGAGGGGCCCCGCGAGGAGCGCCAUCUCCCAGACCGCCCCCCACGCCGUGGGCUGCUCCAGCACCCUCGCCACCGCCGACAGCACGUACCCCAUCGGAGCCGACCGGGCGGGCGGCGACGGCGUGGGGGGACGGACGCGGCGGUGCGGAUGGGGGGUGUGGGGAGGAGAAGAGGGGCAGGAAGGAAGGAACGGGGCUUUGCGGCCUACGGAGAGGAUUAAAGACUCGAUAUUUUUUGGAUUUUUUUUCUCUCUUUGGGGGGAGGGAAAAGGUGUGGUGCACGAGUAGAGAUGGGGUCAUUGGGGGUGUGCUGGACAUGGUGCAUGGACUAUCUCACUCUCUGCAUAUUUUUAUUUGUUUUUAAAGUCAUAUUUUUGGACUUUGGAGAUUUUGGGGAUUCGAUUUGGUAUUUUUUUUUACUUUGGAGGGUCUUGAAACCUGAGCAGCCAUCUCUCUCUCAGUUAUUUUGACUUUGGGAGUUUUGGGAUGUGUUUUUGUUUUUGUUUAUGAGAGAGGUGAUGUGGUAACAAAAGCAAAGGGGUUGGGUGAGCAGCUUAUUUAUUGGUUAGGAGUGAUAGCACUUAUGUAAAGGUGUUGGUUGCUCCUUUGGUGUUCUAAACUUAGGUUCUGUAGUGCUAUUGCUAUGCGCUCAUCACAUUUUAAUCUAAAAAAAUGUGCUCAUCACGUCAUCUGAUUAGUUGUUGGUUGGGAAGUCGUUUUCUCAAGAGUUCCAUGCUCUCAUGGCGUUCCUUAAAGGUACAAAAGGUGCUAUAAAGGAAUCUAUACAUGCAAUUAGCUAAAGAUUGUACUCUAGGCUUGCCUAACUACAUAGUCAUAUCUAUAAAUUAACAAAAGGGGAAAAUUAAUGUAAGUUCAUUCUUUAUUAGUAAGAAAAAUUAUCACACAAGGUUUACAUCAAAACUCUACCAAAUCUGCACAUUGAAGCAAUCAAUGCGUGAAACUCAUUGCGCGUGGAGAGUAUUAUACAAGCAUGAAGCAUGCUAGAUCGUUCCGUUGACCGGUCAACUUGGUAAACCCUUUUGUACGAGUAUCACUGCUGAUUGACUAUCACCUAUUUUUUAUGAACCAAACUUAAUCACUUAUGAAUGAACUCUUUUCGAGGAGUAGAGUAUGGGCUCACCGAUAGUAGUAUAUUUAUGUAUUGGUCAGAACAGGAAAAAAAAACUCAAAGAAAAACACUUGACCAUGAGAGCCUGAUGCCUACAGUACGAUGGACCGGGUGCAGCGACAUGGAUGGCCAAGCGAUAAGGAGAUUUGGGGGCUGAGGCUGCUGGUGGCGCGUGUCGAUUCCGGUGGGGGCCCAAAUCUCCUCUCCGUCCAACCGCCGCCCGCCACGUCGGCCCGCCCGCACCCCGCCCAAACCACCGGCCCCCCGAUUGGUUCGUGGGCUCGCUCGGCUGGCCCCUCACCGGCGGCGUCGCAUCGCCAGUUCACCGCCACCACAACCAUUACUCGUCAGGUCGGCAUCACGGUCAGCUCGCCGGAACGGUACAGGCACAGCUGUGGCUCUUGCGUAUUUCUUCUGGGGGCUCUUCCGGGUCUCGAGCUUCUCUAUCAACAAGAUCCUUUUCUGUCUUGGCCUGCCCCUGCUGAUGACAUGCAAUGCAAUUUCCUUAAUGGGAUAAGAUAAGCUUUCUGCUGCACGAGUUGACACUUGGCCGGGGUUAAUCCUACCACAAUCUUGCUCUGCCAAUGGCCAUAGAUCACCUGUGUUGUCAAACAGGCUGGAGCUUUGACCCCAUUAUGUUUGUGCACAGGUAGUGUACUAGCUGUACCUGUCAGCAAGACAGUAACAGUUAGCCAACCACUUUAGACACACUUGUCACCCCAGGGUUAGAAAUUUUUGGGAAUUUUCGUUAUCUAUUUAUUUAUUUAUUUAUUACGUGCUCGACCAUGCUAAAAAAAUACAGGAUAUAGGAAUAUUACAUCUCGACCACACCUUUGGUGCUUGGGAUAUUGUAUAGCUAAUAACCUUGCUUGCCCUCCACUCGAGCGGAUGACGACGAGCAUGCCGCAACGGCGCAACACACAUUGGAUGGUCGCAGCCUCUGCAUCUGCCAAAGGACAAGCAGCCUGCUGGCCGUACUUUUAAAUCCCUCUAUUUUCUUUAAUUUUCAGAUACUGUAUAUGUCAAGUAACUAAAACAGAGAAAUGUAUGUAUGCAUGUAUGUAUGUAUGUAUGUAUGUGAGAAACUGCAUUAUUUUUACACACAUUAUUUGGCAAUCUACAAGCUUAGAUGAAGAACUUGGAAGGCGGCCGACCAGCAGUCAUACUCCCUUUUAGCGUCUCUUUCUAAAAGGUAUGAAUGCAAAUAAAAGACACCCCAUAGAUAAGCUUCACGGUUGGGGAUUCUUCUUAAUAGAAGGGAUAUUUGUUGCGACAAGCUUUUGCCUCUUUGGAGAUAGACAUCUUAUGAUGGUUUGGUAGAAACCUGUUUUUACCAUACGUCAAAACAAUAGUUAUAUUGAGAGUGCAAAUUAAUUAUAUUAGAGCAGGAGUGGACCUACAUUAAAAAAAAAACAGAGCGGGCACAUACCCUCACUCAAUAUUUUGAAGCAAAGGCAACCAACAUUUUUUUCACCGUGUACAAGCUUCAUAAAUCUAAAUUUUCUUAAGGUGUGCACCCCUCAAAUCCUAGCUUGGGUCCGCCCCUGUAGAGCCCCAAGCCUACACCUACUGUCAAGUUGUUGCAUGCUUAAAGAAAAACAGAAUUGUUGUCAUCAGAGUUGGUGAGACGCGCAUCCAUCUAGAUGGGUGCAUGUCUCAGGUCAAGGGACAGCCGCUAAGCUUGGCUGGCUGGCCGUGAGCCCCGCCCCGUCCUCUUGUACUUGCUCCGUCCUCGAUCAGCCACCGUGUUAAACGUUGUUGCCUUGACACACGAAACCGACUGCCACGUACUAAUGGUCUACUAAUGCAAUAAUAAUGCUUUUUGCUGGCUUUUCACCGAAAGCAUAUGAUAUGAAUAUGAUUUGCACCUCCGAUGAUCUUAGCUAGCAGUCAACCGUACCAAAGCGGCCAGCCGACCACCAUGUGCUUCUCUCCGUCUCUUCCGCUCAAAAAAUAAAAAUAAAAAUAAAAAAUAAAACCGCGGGCUAGCUUCUCUCGAACUGACGUAAUUUUAACAUCGUCAUUUCCUAUCCGAUUAUGUGUGUAGCUUUGCCUUUGCCUACCUCUUUUUUUUUUAACUAGUGCUCCCCAAGUUCAACUACAUGAUUUACACCCUAGCUAAUAUUUUUACCACGCCAUUUGUUAAUCAUGCGUGUAUACCUUUAAUCAUCAUCGUCAGAACCCGCACGUCAUGGCACACUCCCUCCAUUUGAAAUUACAAAGCUUAUUCAUUUCGUUAGGACAAGGCUGGCUGAUAAUUACUCAUAAUUUAAUUAUUUAUUUUAAUGUGAAUCUAAUAACAAUGUUUUUCAAUGUCAUAGAAAUAUGUAUAUUAAUGAAAUAACUAUUGGUGAAAAUCUUAUCCUAAUAAAACAAAAUACUUUUUUUAAAAAAAAUUUAAACAGAAGGAGUGCAUCUUGCAUUAAUUGGUUGCGAGUAAACAGCCUCUCUUUCCUCUUCUCCUUUACUUCUCUCUUGAGGGGAACAUCAUGAUUUGUUGGGAGACAGGUCUUUAAACAAACAAGGGAAGCUAAUCCUAUGCAUACGAGUUCAGUGGUGACAACUAAGAAAACCACAAACAAAUAUCUAUAAUGCACACAUGUACCUUUCAAUCAUAACCACUUAUGAUUAAGUACACACAUGCGUACAUUGGAGGUGUACGUCGUCUUCUGCUUCCCAGAAAAACACAACGAAAAGAUCAACUAGCCCGCGCUGCAGAUCUGAAAGCAUGCGUACACCGGUAGAUCCUUUUUUUUUUGAGGUUGCGUACACCGGUCGAUCUUAUCCUGUAUGGCCACCCAUUAUCAAUUGCUAUGCAUAAGUUGGAUGCAUUUAACAAGCAUGGUCAACAUGUCCGUUAUUUUCCUUCAUCAGCAUCAACGACAGUUUGAGAACUGUAUUUGUUGGCCUAAAGAAAAUGAUGAAAGCAAAAAAACACGCCCGUUAUUUCUUUUUUUUUUGGGGGGGGAUAGAAAAACACUCAUUUUUCAUAUUUUUAAUGAUGUUUUUAAUUGCCUAACGCGAGUCAAAAAGCAUAAUUUACCCUUAUCUAUAAAUAAAAAUCUUCAGACAAACUCUUUCUAAAAAGAAAGUGCUCUAGACAGAAAAUGCAUAAUAUUUUCUAUUUUUGGUAUGAGAAUAUGCAUAGCUCGGAAAGCGCAGGGGAGAGGUGCUGCUAAUGCGGACAUAAAGCAAUUGGGCUCAAUUCAAAGCCUGGGGCUCCCACGUCACAUGGGUCAUGGCCCGGUCCGACUCUUCUCUCCGGCCCAGCCACCGAAGUGUCGGAUAAGCCGCGCGCGGCCGCGCCGUCGCCGCAGAAACAGAGCGCCGUCGCCGUCGCCAUGGCGUCCCCCUCCACCGCGUUCGUCCCCCGCGCCGGCCUUCCCCUCCUCCGCGCAGCACCCCUGCUCCGCGUCAUCGCCUCUUCCUCGGGCUCGGGGAGCAAGAAGAAGGGGAAGAAGCCCAAGAGCGGCAGCAAGAGAGCCGGCCAGGACAAGGAUAGCAAGGCGCUGGAGCCUCCGGCCCCCGUGGUCCGCCGCGCCCCGGCGGGCAGCGCGUCGAUCUUCCAGCAGCAGCAGGAGGUGGCGUCCAAGGCCGGGGGCGCCGGUGGGAAGGGGCCCACGGAGGAGGAGCUGCGGCAGCGGCAGGCCAACGAGAACGCCUUCCUCCUCGCCUGGCUGGGCCUCGGCAUCAUCAUCCUCGUCGAGGGCAUCGCGCUCGCCGCCUCUGGUAAUUUAUACAGUAGUAAUUUGGUCUCAAACUUACAAUGCCGCAUUUGCUUUGCUUAUUGGUGAAUGGUGAUGGUGAAUUCAGUUUGGCAGUGUACUCUGCUUGCACCUGCCAGGGCGUGUCCCCGUGUGGUGAAAUGCAGUGUUAGUUGGUGUAGUGCUGGAGCAGAAUUGUAGCUUGUAGGCAAUAGUAUGGAACAUCAUCAGAUGAGAAACUAUAGUGUUGAACUCCGUGAGUACAUAACACCAUUGAUAGAUGAUUACAAGCUUUCGUUGUGGCAUUUUUUGAUGAGUUGAAGAAAAUUGUCAUGAUGGUGGCAUUUUGGUUGCUUCUCACGCCAUCAUUCUGUGUGUGUCACAUGGCCAAAGUUUUUAACCCAUCCUAGAACAUCCUAGAGUAGAUCACACACACAUACAAACGCGGAAACACCUAAAUGAAAUCACAUUCUAAUACUCAUGCCUUGAGAAUUUUCAAAUGGAAGAUGUUGGUGCAGGAAUCAUCGUAACUCCGAAAUUGCCAGAUGUGAUUUCCCAUAGAUCCAUACCAUGAUCUGAGGAAGUGUAGGAUGACGCACAAAACUACUGAAGAAAGCAUUUAACUUUGCUCAUCUAAAUGAGAGAGUGUCAAGCAACAGAAGCGAUAAUUUAGUUUUUUGAAACGAACCGGGCAGGAGAGCUGCCGAUUAUAUAGAAGCGAUAAUUUAGUUACAUUCAGGCCACCUAACUAGUAACUACUAGUUGUGUUGUGGGUUUGACUCAUCCAGUAAUUAUGUGCCAAGGAUUUUGAUACUGCAGAACUGUUGAACCAAGUUAAUCAUGUUUUAAAAUUAUAUGUCUUGCAGGUUUUCUGCCAGAGGAGUAUGACAGCUUUUUUGUCAAAUACCUUUAUCCAUCAUUCACUCCAACAGUUGUUCUGUUUUUGGCGGGUACGGUUGGAUAUGGUGUCCUUAAAUACUUUGAAAGUGAGAAAAGCAAAAGCUAGAUAACAGCACAAAGGUGAGACUAAAUAUAAUCAUCUUGUGAAUUUCUGAUAUUUACUCAUCCUAAUUUUCUUCAAGCUUUACUUUACAUUUUAUGAUAUGCUAUGUACUUCCUCAGAUACGCAAAAAUGAUUUGUUACAUUGUAAAGGUUGACAAGUGAAUCACUUAUUUUAGACAUCACAUUAUCACAAUAGACAGAUGGAUGAGUGAAUCUCUUAUUCCAACUUCACGAGGUUAUUUGAAGUUGCUUAAACAUUUUUUGUCCUAUAACUUGUUUCAUACAUGGGAUACAUAGAUGUUCUUAAUUAGAUAGGAUGCUGCAGUAUCUACUAAUUAUAAAUUCCGCACUUGCUGAAGACUCAAGUACAAGAAGGGGUAAACGAGUAACAUUGCACAGUCCUUUAGAGUUAGAUUCUGUAUGCUACACUAAGAGCUUAACUUUUUUAAGCAAAAAGGCGGUUGAUCAUAAUCAUAACUAAGCCUUUUUGUAUGCAUACUUGUUUUUUUUUCCCCGAAUGUUCAGAGCUGAGGAAAAUAUUGUUUUAUGGUUUCCUGACUUUCCUGAUAUAGUAAUAAUGCACCCUAGCAGUUUCAAGUUCUCCAAAAUCAUGUUCCAUACUAAGCUUUUCAACUUUUUUUCCAUAGACCAUGGUAUAUGUCUCUGACUCAUUUACUGCCUCUGGCGGUCUUGCUAAAUUUAUCUGAUCUUAUGUAGCAUGUUUGGAGAAAAAUGUGAGGGGGGAGUUCCUAUUCCUAUAUAGCAAACACGCACGCUAUGUAUAUUACAGCAGGAGCUAUUCCUAUGGAGCAAAGAUGCAUGCUACGCAUGAAGUGUCACGGCAGGAGAUAGGUGCCUGAGAAGUAGACCGGUGUUGUAAUUUCUAUUUUUUUCCUUUUAUCCUGCAUCCGGAAUUCCUGAUUAUUCAUCAGUGGAUACUUCUUGAAUAAUCUGUAUGAAGUUCAGUUGUAUAUUGGUGUUUGAGAUUAAUCAGCUUGUAGAGGUUCCUUGUGAUUGUGGAGAGCAUUUCAAACAUAUGGAUUGGAUGACAAAUUGCUGUCAGAGUUUAACUUGAUUAAAUCGAUGCAUUUUCGUGAGUAUGCUCUAUGUGUAAUAUGUACGGGUUGUUUUUGUACAUUAUAACUGAAUAGAUGGGCAUAUAAAGUGUUUCCAAUCAGUUUUUUAGCACCAAAAAUCAUCAUGAAAGCAGGUUUGCCAUUUCUCACCUGUCCCACCCUAUCUCGUAUCGAAUUUUAAAUCAUUCUAGCUCAUGAUACAAAUUUGAAUAUGCAAGGCAUAUGGUAUAGGAACCAAUGUAAAUAUAAUACGGUACCCAUCAUUGCCAAAUCAUUAUAAACAAAAAGAAAAAACAUUCCUAUUUUUCCAUCAGGGAUCACCUAUUUUCUACCUAUGUAGAAAAUGGUAGGCCUGCUGGUGCGCCCGUCUAGCAACCAUUGAGGAGAUAAUUAUACAUAUCACAUUUCACAAGUGGAAGUACACUACAAAUCUUUAUACAUACACUAUCCAUAUACAACAGGGCGCACAUGUUUAUACAUUACAGAUUUAUAAUUACAAUCACAAAAAACAAAUGCACAGAAUGAAUCUAAACCCGAAUCACCCAACAUUGCAAAGAGUUCAUCUCCAUCAAUGUUUAAAAUAUUUUGAUAGCACAUAGGAUGCAAUGUCACCAAAUCUAGUUUGAUAUUUACAUAAGAGGAUGAAUACCAAAGUAUAUAGUUUGCCUAAAUAAAAUCAACUGGAUGCCAUUGGCCAUGCCAUCAGCGACAUGCACUACGGGAAACAGGGAAGAUGCCGAGUGCCAGGGGCACUCGGCGAAGCCCCAAAAACACUCGGCAAAGCGUUUGCCGAGUGUAACACUCGGCAAAUGACACACGGCAAAAAUCCUGACGGCAAACACUGAUUCGCCGAGUGUUUUGUGUCGGGCACUCGGCAAAGACUUUGCCGAGUGCCCAAAAAACACUCGGCAACCAAUUAUUGAAAAAAAUAAAAAAAAAAGUCAUGCUCCGCCACCUGCUCCGCCGCCGCCGCCGCCACCACCAUCCACACCGCCGCCACUGCCUCCCGAGCAGCGCCGCCGGUGACGGAGGGGAGGGGUAGGGAAGCAGAUCUGGGGGGGAGGGGCGCCGCGGGGAAGCACUACCCGGGGGCGGCGCCGCCGGUGACAGAGGGGAGGGGCGGGGAAGAAGAUCCGGUGGAGAAGUCAGGCGGGCGGCGGAUCCGGUGGAGGGGAUGGGCGGGCGGCGGAUCCGGGGCCCGGGGGCCGGGCGCCGGGCGGCGGCGGAUCCGGGGCCCGGGGGCCGGGCGCCGGGCGGCGGCGGAUCCGAGGCCCGGGGGCUGGGCGCCGGGCGGGCACCGGCGGAUCCGGGGGCGCCGGGCGGCGGGCGGUGCGCCGGGCGGCAGGCGGCGGCAGGGGGCUCCGGGCGGCGAGCGGUGGCGGGAGGGAGAGAGGAGGGAGUAGUGAUGGGUGGGAGUGACGGGGGGGGGGGGGGGAGGAGUGAGGGGGCCGGGCACUUAAGUCCUUGGGCGGCCGGGCACUUAAGUCGCCGAGUGUCCUAGGGGUGACACUCGGUGAAGGGUUCUUUGCCGAGUGUCUACCCUAGGGCACUUGUGGCAAAGUUAUUUUAAAAAAAAUUUAAAAAAUAUCCAACAGUUUCAAAAAAUUGUCAAUUGUCAAAAAUUUACAUGAAAUAAUAUAUAUUCUCUAUUCACUAUACAAAAAGUUUUGUAGUCAAAUCAAAACUCGACCGUCAUUUUGACUCCAAAUCUUAUGCAAUCCUUCUCAACGUUACUAUUUUUCUUCGGAAAUACUUCGGUUUGUAAACAUCGUACGUGAUGAAAUGUGCAAAACAUUCUCAAUUUUUUUCCACAGCCUCCACCUAUGAUAUCAUCACAUCAUGACAAAUCUCAUGAUUUUCAGACUUUGCUUAUUUUUUUUAUAAUUUAAAAAUACCACUACCACACGUUCGUGGUCGUGUUUCCUGAACAAGAUGUUCGAAAUUUCUUGUCAUUUCAUGGGUCAGGUCUCAAAUUGGGCCGAAAAACAUGAAUAUUAUUUUUCUACUCAUUUUGUUCCAUAAUUUGAAUCACUUGCAGUUCAAAUUUGAAUUACCAAAAAUUCCCUUGAAAUGCAAUUAAUUAAAUAAAUAUAGCAAAUAAAUCCAAAAAUAUACCAAAUUUUAACAUGGAGUACCACAUGUUGUAUGUGGGGAGUAGAAAAAAUUUCAUGGUGAAAAGAGGAAAAAAAUUAUUUUUUUGCCGAGUGUCAAAAAAAACACUAGGCCAACCCCCCUGU
rnacentral:lncRNA from 1 species